CAGCAGUCGCCGCGGUAAAACGGAGGGUGCAAGCGUUAAUCGGAAUUACUGGGCGUAAAGCGCACGCAGGCGGUCUGUCAAGUCAGAUGUGAAAUCCCCGGGCUUAACCUGGGAACUGCAUUUGAAACUGGCAGGCUAGAGUCUUGUAGAGGGGGGUAGAAUUCCAGGUGUAGCGGUGAAAUGCGUAGAGAUCUGGAGGAAUACCGGUGGCGAAGGCGGCCCCCUGGACAAAGACUGACGCUCAGGUGCGAAAGCGUGGGGAGCAAACAGGAUUAGAUACCCGUGUAGUCCCUGUCUCUUAUAC
rnacentral:rRNA from 1 species